rnacentral:rRNA from 1 species
GAGCCCGGAGAUGGGCACUGAGACAAGGGCCCAGGCCCUAUGGGGCGCAGCAGGCGCGAAACCUCUGCAAUAGGCGAAAGCCUGACAGGGUUACUCUGAGUGAUUUCCGUUAAGGAGAUCUUUUGGCACCUCUAAAAAUGGUGCAGAAUAAGGGGUGGGCAAGUCUGGUGUCAGCCGCCGCGGUAAUACCAGCACCCCGAGUGGUCGGGACGUUUAUUGGGCCUAAAGCAUCCGUAGCCGGUUCUACAAGUCUUCCGUUAAAUCCACCUGCUUAACAGAUGGGCUGCGGAAGAUACUAUAGAGCUAGGAGGCGGGAGAGGCAAGCGGUACUCGAUGGGUAGGGGUAAAAUCCGUUGAUCCAUUGAAGACCACCAGUGGCGAAGGCGGCUUGCCAGAACGCGCUCGACGGUGAGGGAUGAAAGCUGGGGGAGCAAACCGGAUUAGAUACCGGGGUAGUCCCAGCUGUAAACGAUGCAGACUCGGUGAUGAGUUGGCUUAUUGCUAACUCAGUGCCGCAGGGAAGCCGUUAAGUUUGCCGCCUGGGGAGUACGGUCGCAAGACUGAAACUUAAAGGAAU